CAAUAGCGUAUAUUUAAGUUGUUGCAGUUAAAAAGCUCGUAGUUGGAUUUUGGGUCGGGGGCACCGGUCCGCCGUUCCGGUGUGCACUGGUGGCCCCUUCCUUUCUGCCGGGGACGUGCGUCGCACUUAAUUGGGCGGCGUUCGGAGUCGGCGUUGUUACUUUGAAAAAAUUAGAGUGUUCAAAGCAAGCCAUCGCUCUGAAUACAUUAGCAUGGAAUAACAUGAUAGGACUCCGGUCUUAUUUUGUUGGUUUCCGAGACUGGAGUAAUGAUUAAGAGGGACAGUCGGGGGCAUCCGUAUUUCAUUGUCAGAGGUGAAAUUCUUGGAUUUAUGAAAGACGAACUUCUGCGAAAGCAUUUGCCAAGGAUGUUUUCAUUAA
rnacentral:rRNA from 1 species